AACUUUAUAUUCAAAUUCUAUGAUAUUAAAUUGCAAAUUUAAAGGUAUUAAUUAUUUUAAUUAAGGUUU
rnacentral:tRNA from 1 species